rnacentral:rRNA from 1 species
UAAAGCGUGCGUAGGUGGUUUGUUAAGUCUGAUGUGAAAGCCCUGGGCUCAACCUGGGAAUUGCAUUGGAUACUGGCAGGCUAGAGUGCGGUAGAGGGUAGUGGAAUUCCCGGUGUAGCGGUGGAAUGCGUAGAGAUCGGGAAGAACACCAAUGGCGAAGGCAGUCCGCUGGGCCGUUGCUGACGCUGAGGCGCGACAGCGUGGGGAGCAAACAGG